rnacentral:lncRNA from 1 species
CAACAGCCAGUCCUUCCUGAGCAUGGAAAGUUCCUGGUGCCUCAGGGUAUGCCUCCUUCUCUUGGCAGCUACAACCAUAUGAGCAGCUGACCCUUGCCCCAGAACUCCAUUGUCGGUGUAACACCUGGCCCAAAGCCCACUGGCAUGGGACUCUCUCCUCACUGAUGGAGAUAAACGUCCUUCCCUAUUUGAUGGACAAGUGGAACUACGGAAAUAUCAGGAGAGCUCCAGCCUUCUUCAGGCCUCUUUAGGGACUCAUUAAGCUUUGAGUCUUUUUCAAGACUUUAAGCAUUGAGUUACUUCAGGCACUUCUGGCUCCUAGCUUCAAGAGAGAAGAUGGAAGAGACCAACCCCACUUCAGGUUACUGAAGGAAAAGACUCUGGGAAGAUAUGAGUGUUUCUGGCGGUCUCCGUCAUGUCUCUACUCCCAGUUUACUACUUCAAGGAGACUUCAGGGAGUUUGCUCUUAGGUGAGAUCCAGGACACCCUCUUUGGCUGA